ACGCUCGACACCUACGGGAGACAGCAGUGGGGAAUAAUGGGCAAUGGGCGCAAGCCUGACCCAGCAACGCCGCGUGAAUGAUGAAGGUCUUCGGAUUGUAAAGUUCUGUGACGGGGGACGAACACAAUGACGGUACCCCGACAGCAAGCCACGGCUAACUACGUACCAGCAGCCGCGGUAAUCUGAGCGGGCUGGCAAGGC
rnacentral:rRNA from 1 species